rnacentral:rRNA from 1 species
AGAGUUUGAUCAUGGCUCAGGAUGAACGCUGGCGGCGUGCCUAACACAUGCAAGUCGAACGGGGUUAAGUGAUAUUUUCGGAUGGAUCUUAACUUAGUGGCGGACGGGUGAGUAACGCGUGGAUAACCUGCCUCACACAGGGGGAUAGCAGCUGGAAACGGCUGGUAAUACCGCAUAAGACCACGGCCCCGCAUGGGGUUGUAGUAAAAGAUUUAUCGGUGUGAGAUGGAUCCGCGUCUGAUUAGCCAGUUGGCGGGGUAACGGCCCACCAAAGCGACGAUCAGUAGCCGGCCUGAGAGGGUGAACGGCCACAUUGGGACUGAGACACGGCCCAAACUCCUACGGGAGGCAGCAGUGGGGAAUAUUGCACAAUGGGCGCAAGCCUGAUGCAGCAACGCCGCGUGAGUGAAGAAGUAUUUCGGUAUGUAAAGCUCUAUCAGCAGGGAAGAAAGGCCCUUCGGGGAGAUGACGGUACCUGACUAAGAAGCCCCGGCUAACUACGUGCCAGCAGCCGCGGUAAUACGUAGGGGGCAAGCGUUAUCCGGAUUUACUGGGUGUAAAGGGAGCGCAGACGGCAGUGCAAGUCUGAUGUGAAAGCCCGGGGCUCAACCCCGGAACUGCAUUGGAAACUGUACAGCUUGAGUGUCGGAGAGGUAAGCGGAAUUCCUAGUGUAGCGGUGAAAUGCGUAGAUAUUAGGAGGAACACCGGUGGCGAAGGCGGCUUACUGGACGAUCACUGACGUUGAGGCUCGAAAGCGUGGGGAGCAAACAGGAUUAGAUACCCUGGUAGUCC